UUUGGUAACCAUGUAUUCCAGUGUCUGCCUUUUCCAAUUGCAAGUGUGUGGUCACUCAGCCUGUACUUGGUCAGGAUAUGCCUCUGCUUUGUAUCUCUGACAGAGAAGAGAUACUCAGCCAAUUUGUUGUCUCUUUUUAGGGUCCGACAGCAAUCUAGUUUGUUUUGUGUUUUGGUUACAUUAUCCCAAUAUUCCAAAGAAGAGAUUUUGAUCCGUUUCAUUACUUGGUUUACUUUGAUUUGUUGGUAAGCAGUGCUGGUAUGAAGCUGGUCUGUGAUUUGUGUUAGUUGGGUUAAUGGGUUAGUCAGCUUCAUUACCAGCUGACUGAGGGGACUCUUUCAUUACUAACUUCCAGCCUGCAAAGGCACUGCCAGCCAGAACCAGCAGCGACACCAUCACUCCCACCAC